rnacentral:rRNA from 1 species
AGUGAACGCUGGCGGUAGGCCUAACACAUGCAAGUCGAACGGCAGCACAGUAAGAGCUUGCUCUUACGGGUGGCGAGUGGCGGACGGGUGAGGAAUACAUCGGAAUCUACUUUUUCGUGGGGGAUAACGUAGGGAAACUUACGCUAAUACCGCAUACGCCCUCCGGGUGAAAGCAGGGGAUCUUCGGACCUUGCGCGAUUGAAUGAGCCGAUGUCGGAUUAGCUAGUUGGCGGGGUAAAGGCCCACCAAGGCGACGAUCCGUAGCUGGUCUGAGAGGAUGAUCAGCCACACUGGAACUGAGACACGGUCCAGACUCCUACGGGAGGCAGCAGUGGGGAAUAUUGGACAAUGGGCGCAAGCCUGAUCCAGCCAUACCGCGUGGGUGAAGAAGGCCUUCGGGUUGUAAAGCCCUUUUGUUGGGAAAGAAAAGCAGCAGGUUAAUACCCCGCUGUUCUGACGGUACCCAAAGAAUAAGCACCGGCUAACUUCGUG